rnacentral:lncRNA from 1 species
GGCGGCCAAGGGCAGGAUGUCACUUCGUCCAGUUUCAGCUGGUUUUAUGGCGCAGUGGCCACAUCCCCUCCCAGCCUUGAUUCAUCUGGCCAGUUCCAGCCCUUCCUGCAGGUUCUGUGAACCGCUGGGGCUCUUCCCAGCCCACCGUACCCUCGGACUCUCGGGGUUGCUCCCUUCUGUGUGCUCCCUCCCGCCCCAGCAUUUAGGCCAAUAGCCUAAAGCCCAGGUUGGAGCAUUUGCAGAUCUCUGAAGAGUGAUACUCACUGAACAUUUCUCAAUGGAUCCGGCCUCCUGGAGCUCCGAGGGACCGGCUCCAGCACCUCCAGCUCCCCUAACCCCCAGGUGCUGAUCAGGCACACUUAGAGAGACCCUCGGGGUAAGUCACGUCGGUGCUGGGAGACGAGGACGAGAGGGACACGAUAUUCCAGUAACUCGGGUGUGCAGAUGCAAAGACCUAAUUCAAGACUGUGCUACCUGUGGGCUGCCUGACCUGGGGAGGGGGGCAAGGGUUCACCUUAAAAGCUCUCAGGCCCCCCUUGAUAAGGUGAACUCCUUGCCCAGGCCUUCCCACAAACCUCCCCCUCAGGUCUGCCCCCAAACAUGGAGAAAACCAAGAGGAAUCGAAAAUCGGACAUUCUCGCUCCCACUGAGCUAAUGAGAACCGGAGUCGAUGUGGGCACCUGGGGACUUGUAGGAGGAGAAGCUUGGCAAGGUGAGGUCCAGGUAUUCCUGUGGAGAAAAAGAAAAAAACGUCAACUUCCAUUUUUCAAAAGCAGCUUUCUCAGAAACGAGCCGAGGCUGGCGGAGCAGCGGUUGGGGCCUGGCGCCCGGAACACUCACGUUCAGGCCGGAGCAGGCCACGCCGCCUUCCUCUGCCUCAGUCUCCUCUAGUGUAAAACGGGUGCGCACAGCGGCUGCCCUCAGGGCACCGACACCAUCCCCUCCCCUGGUGCACUUUGGGCAAGGGAUGUUACCGAGGAGGACCCUGUCUCACCAGCGUCAUCUCACUCGCCAAAAAAGGACCAUCCUGUCCUCAGCCGUGUUUGAGGAGGAAAUAGUCAUUUUCUUAAAAACACAAAUAAAACACCCAG